CCUACGGGAGGCUGCAGUGAGGAAUAUUGGUCAAUGGACGAGAGUCUGAACCAGCCACGUAGCGUGAAGGAUGACUGCCCUAUGGGUUGUAAACUUCUUUUAUAAGGGAAUAAAACGAGGCACGUGUGCCUUUUUGCAUGUACUUUAUGAAUAAGGAUAGGCUAACUCCGUGCCAGCAGCCGCGGUAAUACGGAGGAUCCGAGCGUUAUCCGGAUUUAUUGGGUUUAAAGGGAGCGUAGAUGGGUUGUUAAGUCAGUUGUGAAAGUUUGCGGCUCAACCGUAAAAUUGCAAGUGAUACUGGCAGUCUUGAGUACAGUUGAGGUAGGCGGAAUUCGUGGUGUAGCGGUGAAAUGCUUAGAUAUCACGAAGAACCCCGAUUGCGAAGGCAGCUUACUAAACUGUGACUGACAUUGAUGCUCGAAAGUGUGGGGAGCAAACAGGAUUAGAUACCCGAGUAGUC
rnacentral:rRNA from 1 species